GCCUAUCUGGCUACCGUGACUCAAAAUCUACAAUGAAGACGGCGCAAGUAACAUGAGAGGCUGUAUGAAUCAGCAGAGACUCGGAGCAGCUACAUCGACCAUAGAGACUUCCUCGGUGGCCUGGGAUGCCCUGGCGCACUCUUCAGAGGGCGAACUCCAGCUGACACAGCAGAUGGAGCAGCCAUCCCACCAGGGAUCCUUCAUAUUCUACUGUUAAAUCUUCAGCAUCUCUCAAUCUCUAAUUUAGAUCUAGUCCUAGAAGGUCCCACAUUUUUACCGCUGCUUCCCUUUCUUCAAGAAAAACGAAUUUGACCUCGUAAACUCUAGUAUCAUAGAGGACCAUCUAGAAGAAAACGUAUCUUUGUGACCUAAGGGCUGGCAAAUAUUUCAUUGCAGUGACAGCAAGGACACAACUUGAAAAAGAGCGAUACAUUGAAUUUCAUCAAAAAAAAACAUAUUUACUCUUCAAGAGAUACCAUUAAGAAACUGGAAAGAAAAACGACAGAGAACACUUCCCAACCACUAGAAGGUCUAAGUACAAAAACACUAGCAUACCAAAUGUUCACAAAGAUUUAGAGCAACUGGGUUUGUACACGUAGCUUGUGAGAAUGUGAAAUGGUACCAACUCUUUGGAAAACCUUUUGGCAAUCUAUACAAGAAAGUUCAAGCAUUCAUAAUAGCAAAAGAAAAAAAAGGGAAGCAACUGAAAUGUCCAUUAAAAGGUGAAUGAAUAAACAAUGCUGUAUAUUUAAGUAACCAAUACUGAUUUAAUCAGCAAUAGAAAGGAAUGAACUAUUGCAAAAAUUUGGUUGAAUGUGGAAAACAUUAUGCUGUCCCAAAGAAUCAAGACUUAAAACUGUACGAUUCCAUUAAUACAUAUAAAGUCCUAAAACAAGCAAAACUAAUCUGUAGUGGUAGAAAUUGGAUCAGUGGUUGCCUGGGGUAGGAGAUGAUAAGGGAGCGACUGACUGCAGUGGAAUACAAGGGAACUUUCUGGCGUGAUGAAAAUGCUCUACAUCUUGAUUGUAGCGCAAUUACAAACUUACAUUUGUCAAAAUUCAUUUGCAUUUUAUGUACAUUUUAUUUUACGCAAGUAAACGA